UACGUAGGGGCCGAGCGUUGUCCGGAGUUAUUGGGCGUAAAGCGCGCGCAGGCGGCUUCGCGCGCCCGACGUGAAAGCCCCCGGCUUAACCGGGGAGAGUCGUUGGGGACGGCGGGGCUUGAGGGCGGGAGAGGUCGGUGGAAUUCCCGGUGUAGUGGUGAAAUGCGCAGAUAUCAGGAGGAACACCGGUGGCGAAGGCGGGUCUCUGGGCCGAUGACUGACGCUGAGGAGCGAAAGCGUGGGGAGCGAACAGG
rnacentral:rRNA from 1 species